AGAGUUUGAUUAUGGCUCGGGAUGAACGCUAGCUACAGGCUUAACACAUGCAAGUCGAGGGGCAGCAUGAUCUUAGCUUGCUAAGAUUGAUGGCGACCGGCGCACGGGUGAGUAACGCGUAUCCAACCUUCCCUAUAGUAGGGGAUAGCCCGGCGAAAGUCGGAUUAAUACCCUAUGUUCUUCAUAGAUGACAUCUGAAAUGAAGCAAAGGUUUACCGCUAUAGGAUGGGGAUGCGUCUGAUUAGCUUGUUGGCGGGGUAACGGCCCACCAAGGCAACGAUCAGUAGGGUUCUGAGAGGAAGGUCCCCCACAUUGGUACUGAGACACGGACCAAACUCCUACGGGAGGCAGCAGUGAGGAAUAUUGGUCAAUGGGCGAGAGCCUGAACCAGCCAAGUAGCGUUGCAGGAUGACUGCCCUAUGGGUUGUAAACUGCUUUUAUAGGGGAAUAAAGUGAGGAACGUGUUCCUUUUGUAUGUACCCUAUGAAUAAGGACCGGCUAAUUCCGUGCCAGCAGCUGC
rnacentral:rRNA from 1 species